GUGAAUCAUCGAAUCUUUGAACGCACCUUGCGCUCUUUGGUAUUCCGAGGAGCAUGCCUGUUUGAGUGUCAUGAAAUUCUCAACCUUUCGAGCUUUUUGAUUGAAAAGCUAGUUAGGCUUGGAUUAUGGGAGUUUGUUGGCUCUUCUUUGAGUCAGCUCUUCUUAAAUAUAUUAGCAAGAUCAUCGCUAAAUCAUCUUUGAUAUGAUAAUUAUCUAUAUCAUCAUGAUUAUCCUAGUGUUUCCUUCACCGGAAAAGAUCAGGCUUAUAGCUGUCUAAGGACAAAUAUUUUUGAAUCAUUUGACCUCAAAUCAGGUAGGACUACCCGCUGAACUUAG
rnacentral:rRNA from 1 species